rnacentral:rRNA from 1 species
UACGAAGGGGGCUAGCGUUGCUCGGAAUUACUGGGCGUAAAGGGCGCGUAGGCGGGUAGGUUAGUCAGAGGUGAAAGCCCAGGGCUCAACCUUGGAAUUGCCUUUGAUACUGGCUAUCUUGAGUUCGGGAGAGGUGAGUGGAAUGCCGAGUGUAGAGGUGAAAUUCGUAGAUAUUCGGCGGAACACCAGUGGCGAAGGCGACUCACUGGCCCGAUACUGACGCUGAGGCGCGAAAGCGUGGGGAGCAAACAGG